GGACCUUGUAAGGCUGACUUUGGAAUAUGACUGCAUUCUGAUGGAGAGAUUUCCAGUUUAAGAUGCCAUACUGAACAUAUACACUGAUCUCUUUGCCUUUGGAAACUCCAUUAAGCUGAUUGUAAAGGAGGAAAAGGAUUCUCACAUGACAAUGAAGAGACUGAAGAAGUAUCAUCAAUGGAUAAAGCAGAAUAGAAAUAGCAGCCGCCUGGACCAUACCUAGAAAGGAAUCAUUUUGCCUGGCAGAAGCAUGAAACAGUUCCAUAUUUGAGAUGGCAUUUACCACUGAGGGAAAAAAAAAGUAUCAUGUGAAAGAAGCAAGAAUUGGACUGACCACACACUUGUCAUUGCCAAUCAGAUGCUGCAAAACAAUGGAUCUGUUUUUCAGAGUUCUGAAAUAAAAUGCUAAUCAAACUAGAAUCUGCUUAGCUAAGACACUGC
rnacentral:lncRNA from 1 species